rnacentral:rRNA from 1 species
GGAGGAAAAGAAACCACCAGGGAUUGCCUCAGUAGCGGCGAGUGAAGCGGCAAAAGCUCAAAUUUGAAAUCUGGCGUCUUUGGCGUCCGAGUUGUAAUUUGAAGAAGGUAUCUUUGGGCCCGGCUCUUGUCUAUGUUCCUUGGAACAGGACGUCACAGAGGGUGAGAAUCCCGUGCGAUGAGAUGACCCGGGUCUGUGUAAAGUUCCUUCGACGAGUCGAGUUGUUUGGGAAUGCAGCUCUAAGUGGGUGGUAAAUUCCAUCUAAAGCUAAAUAUUGGCGAGAGACCGAUAGCGAACAAGUACAGUGAUGGAAAGAUGAAAAGAACUUUGAAAAGAGAGUGAAAAAGUACGUGAAAUUGUUGAAAGGGAAGGGCUUGAGAUCAGACUUGGUAUUUUGCAUGCUGCUCUCUCGGGGGCGGCCGCUGCGGUUUACCGGGCCAGCAUCGGUUUGGAGCGGCAGGAUAAUGGCGGAGGAAUGUGGCACGGCUUCUGCUGUGUGUUAUAGCCUCUGACGAUACUGCCAGCCUAGACCGAGGACUGCGGUUUUUACCUAGGAUGUUGGCAUAAUGAUCUUAAGUCGCCCGUCUU